GACGAACGCUGGCGGCGUGCUUAACACAUGCAAGUCGAACGGAAAGGCCCUGCUUUUGUGGGGUGCUCGAGUGGCGAACGGGUGAGUAACACGUGAGUAACCUGCCCUUGACUUUGGGAUAACUUCAGGAAACUGGGGCUAAUACCGGAUAGGAGCUCCUGCUGCAUGGUGGGGGUUGGAAAGUUUCGGCGGUUGGGGAUGGACUCGCGGCUUAUCAGCUUGUUGGUGGGGUAGUGGCUUACCAAGGCUUUGACUGGUAGCCGGCCUGAGAGGGGGGCCGGCCACAUUGGGACUGAGGUACGGCCCAGACUCCUACGGGAGGCAGCAGUGGGGAAUAUUGCACAAUGGGCGGAAGCCUGAUGCAGCAACGCCGCGUGCGGGAUGACGGCCUUCGGGUUGUAAACCGCUUUCGCCUGUGACGAAGCGUGAGUGACGGUAAUGGGUAAAGAAGCACCGGCUAACUACGUG
rnacentral:rRNA from 1 species